AGAGUUUGAUCCUGGCUCAGAUUGAACGCUGGCGGCAGGCCUAACACAUGCAAGUCGAGCGGUAGCACAGAGAGCUUGCUCUCGGGUGACGAGCGGCGGACGGGUGAGUAAUGUCUGGGAAACUGCCUGAUGGAGGGGGAUAACUACUGGAAACGGUAGCUAAUACCGCAUAAUGUCGCAAGACCAAAGUGGGGGACCUUCGGGCCUCAUGCCAUCAGAUGUGCCCAGAUGGGAUUAGCUAGUAGGUGGGGUAACGGCUCACCUAGGCGACGAUCCCUAGCUGGUCUGAGAGGAUGACCAGCCACACUGGAACUGAGACACGGUCCAGACUCCUACGGGAGGCAGCAGUGGGGAAUAUUGCACAAUGGGCGCAAGCCUGAUGCAGCCAUGCCGCGUGUGUGAAGAAGGCCUUCGGGUUGUAAAGCACUUUCAGCGGGGAGGAAGGCGGUGAGGUUAAUAACCUUGGCGAUUGACGUUACCCGCAGAAGAAGCACCGGCUAACUCCGUGCCAGCAGCCGCGGUAAUACGGAGGGUGCAAGCGUUAAUCGGAAUUACUGGGCGUAAAGCGCACGCAGGCGGUCUGUCAAGUCGGAUGUGAAAUCCCCGGGCUCAACCUGGGAACUGCAUUCGAAACUGGCAGGCUAGAGUCUUGUAGAGGGGGGUAGAAUUCCAGGUGUAGCGGUGAAAUGCGUAGAGAUCUGGAGGAAUACCGGUGGCGAAGGCGGCCCCCUGGACAAAGACUGACGCUCAGGUGCGAAAGCGUGGGGAGCAAACAGGAUUAGAUACCCUGGUAGUCCACGCCGUAAACGAUGUCGAUUUGGAGGUUGUGCCCUUGAGGCGUGGCUUCCGGAGCUAACGCGUUAAAUCGACCGCCUGGGGAGUACGGCCGCAAGGUUAAAACUCAAAUGAAUUGACGGGGGCCCGCACAAGCGGUGGAGCAUGUGGUUUAAUUCGAUGCAACGCGAAGAACCUUACCUGGUCUUGACAUCCACAGAACUUUCCAGAGAUGGAUUGGUGCCUUCGGGAACUGUGAGACAGGUGCUGCAUGGCUGUCGUCAGCUCGUGUUGUGAAAUGUUGGGUUAAGUCCCGCAACGAGCGCAACCCUUAUCCUUUGUUGCCAGCGGUUCGGCCGGGAACUCAAAGGAGACUGCCAGUGAUAAACUGGAGGAAGGUGGGGAUGACGUCAAGUCAUCAUGGCCCUUACGACCAGGGCUACACACGUGCUACAAUGGCAUAUACAAAGAGAAGCGACCUCGCGAGAGCAAGCGGACCUCAUAAAGUAUGUCGUAGUCCGGAUUGGAGUCUGCAACUCGACUCCAUGAAGUCGGAAUCGCUAGUAAUCGUAGAUCAGAAUGCUACGGUGAAUACGUUCCCGGGCCUUGUACACACCGCCCGUCACACCAUGGGAGUGGGUUGCAA
rnacentral:rRNA from 1 species